CACGUAGGAGGCGAGCGUUAUCCGGAGUUACUGGGCGUAAAGGGCGGGUAGGUGGUGCGAUAAGACUGGUGUGAAAGCCUUCGGCUUAACCGAGGGAGGACACUGGUGACUGUCGGACUUGAGGCAGAUAGAGGGGUGUAGAAUUCCGGGUGUAGUGGUGAAAUGCGUAGAGAUCCGGAGGAAUACCAGAGGCGAAGGCGGCACCCUGGGUCUGACCUGACACUGAUCCGCGACAGCAUGGGGAGCGAACGGGG
rnacentral:rRNA from 1 species